GUUUUUUAACGUCGAAUCCAGCGGUUUGAUAUACAGGCUAUUGUUUUUCAGCACCACAUUGCCUUCGGCGGUCACCUUCUCACCGUCCAGCGGAAUAUCGAGAUGUAAGCGAGCAUUCACAUCGCCAUCAAGCUGGAGCUGUUGCAGGGUUGCGCCCAGCGAGUCAUCCAGCGGCGUUUUUUCAAAGUAAGGGCCGACCUCUUUGCCCGGACCUUUCAGAUCGGCGUCAAUCAGCAGCUUGAGUUUUACGUAAUCCGGGAUCGCGGCUCGCAAAUUGCGCGCAUUGACGCCGCCAAGCUGCGCGGUAUCGGCUUUCAUCCACAGGCCAUCGUUAAUGAAGUCGAGAUCGAUAUCCUGUUUAGUCAGCGCGGGCCAGUUUGGCUGGAAGGCGAAGAUGGCGUUACGUACCGG
rnacentral:ncRNA from 1 species